rnacentral:rRNA from 1 species
CGACCUACGGGAGGCAGCAGUGGGGAAUAUUGGGCAAUGGGCGCAAGCCUGACCCAGCAAUGCCGCGUGAAGGAAGAAGGCCCUCGGGUUGUAAACUUCUUUUAUCAGGGACGAAGGAUGUGACGGUACCUGAUGAAUAAGCUCCGGCUAACUACGUGCCAGCAGCCGCGGUAAUACGUAGGUGGCGAGCGUUGUCCGGAAUUACUGGGUGCAAAGGGAGUGUAGGCGGGGAAGCAAGUCA